GCUGGGCGUGGUGGUGCAUGCCUGUAAUCCCAGUUACUCAGGAGGCUGAGGCAGGAGAAUCGCUUGAACCCAGGAGAUGUGGAUUGUGGUGAGCCGAGAUCGUGCCACUGCACUCCAGCCUGGGUGACAAGAGUGAAACUCUGUCUCAA
rnacentral:SRP_RNA from 1 species